rnacentral:rRNA from 1 species
CCUACGGGCGGCAGCAGUGAGGAAUAUUGGUCAAUGGGCGCAAGCCUGAACCAGCCAAGUAGCGUGAGGGAUGACUGCCCUACGGAUCGUAAACUUCUUUUAUAAAGGAAUAAAGUGAGGCACGUGUCCCUUUUUGUAUGUACCUUAUGAAUAAGGAUCGGCUAACUCCGUGCCAGCAGCCGCGGUAAUACGGAGGAUCCGAGCGUUAUCCGGAUUUAUUGGGUUUAAAGGGAGCGUAGACGGGUUUUUAAGUCAGUUGUGAAAGUUUGCGGCUCAACCGUAAAAUUGCAGUUGAUACUGGGAGCCUUGAGUACAUUUGAGGCAGGCGGAAUUCGUGGUGUAGCGGUGAAAUGCUUAGAUAUCACGCAGAACCCCGAUUGCGAAGGCAGCUUACUAAGCCGUGACUGACACUGAUGCUCGAAAGUGUGGGUAUCAAACAGGAUUAGAUACCCUUGUAGUC